rnacentral:tRNA from 1 species
GCGCGCCCGGCAGGCCCAGGUCGUCGCCGGGCUGCUGCCGCUGGCCCGCGACAUCCGCCGGUUCGGUGCCGCGGCGCUCG